rnacentral:lncRNA from 1 species
UGUUUUGUGGUGAAUGAAGGAAGUUUUGGUAGGUAUUUAUAGGAGAAGGAUUGGAAGAUAGAAAGAAAAAGUGGUUGAAAAGUAAUUAAGUGUGGUAAAUGAAAAAUGAAUGGGGAAUGUAAAAAGGUAAGGGGUGUAACGUUCGUCUCCAACGGCUCCCUAACGUUCACAUGUCUGAGGGGCGUUACGCUCGUCACAAGGCUGUGACGCUCGUAAC